UACAGAGGGUGCGAGCGUUGUCCGGAAUCACUGGGCGUAAAGGGCGCGUAGGUGGCGGCCCAAGUCCGUGGUGAAAGCUCGCCGCUUAACGGCGAGUCGGCCACGGAGACUGGGUGGCUCGAGCACUGUAGGGGCAGAUGGAAUUCCGGGUGUAGCGGUGGAAUGCGUAGAGAUCCGGAAGAACACCAGUGGCGAAGGCGACACGCUGGGCCGUACCUGACACUGAUGCGCGACAGCAUGGGGAGCAAACAGG
rnacentral:rRNA from 1 species